UACGAAGGGGGCUAGCGUUGUUCGGAUUUACUGGGCGUAAAGCGCGUGUAGGCGGCCCGUUAAGUGGGGUGUGAAAGCCCGGGGCUCAACCCCGGGACGCCGCUUCAAACUGGCGGGCUUGAGGACGGAAGAGGGGAGUGGAAUUCCUGGUGUAGCGGUGAAAUGCGUAGAGAUCAGGAGGAACACCCGUGGCGAAGGCGGCUCCCUGGUCCGUCCCUGACGCUGAGACGCGAAAGCGCGGGGAGCGAACGGG
rnacentral:rRNA from 1 species